AGUAGGGAAUUGUUCGCAAUGGGCGCAAGCCUGACGACGCAACGCCGCGUGGAGGAUGAAGACCUUCGGGUCGUAAACUCCUUUCGACCGAGAUGAAUACCCACCGACCUAACACGUUGGUGGGCUGACAGUAUCGAGGGAAGAAGCCCCGGCUAACUCCGUGCCAGCAGCCGCGGUAAUACGGGGGGGGCAAGCGUUGUUCGGAAUUACUGGGCGUAAAGGGUUCGUAGGUGGCCUGCUAAGUCAGACGUGAAAUCCCUCAGCUUAACUGGGGAACUGCGUGUGAGACUGGCGGGCUUGAGUGCAGGAGAGGAACGCGGAAUUCCAGGUGUAGCGGUGAAAUGCGUAGAUAUCUGGAGGAACACCGGUGGCGAAGGCGGCGUUCUGGACUGCUACUGACACUGAGGAACGAAAGCCAGGGGAGCAAA
rnacentral:rRNA from 1 species